AGUUCAAGGAAACAGGUCUGUUAGAAAAGAUCACAAAUCACAUCAGGCAGUAACUCAAUAAACAUCUCUCUCUACAGUUUCUCUGAACUAAUCAAGCUCCAGAUGGUGCUGCAAACUAAACAACACAAGGACAAGCUGUUCUUCCAAGGACCUUAGAUCACCCCCAGGAGGAGCCCUAGUGCUGUUCCCCAUCUGAUGUCCCUUUCAGCAGGAAAUAGCCAGAAACAGUCAUCACCCAAAACCCCCUAACAGCAAUUAGGGUGAUAUUUCCACAGCAGCUCCAGAAAAGUUUUCAUGUGUGUCCAUGUCAUUUUUUCCAAUUCAACGAGAGACAAACAACCCUGGUGUUCCUCAACUCAUCAGAGCCAUAUCACUGAUACAGGAAAUAUAAAGAAAAAAUGGUAAUAAUUCCACGUGGAUAAAGUGGAGAUCUUCAACUGGGCAUUGUAGAUUUAAAUGUGUAUGUGAAAUACAGAUUAUUCCACAGUGUGCUAUGGACUUCAGAAUCAUAAAUAUUAAGUCACUGUAAGCCAGUUCUAGUUUUUACAAUUGAAAUUACACUUUAUGCCACAGUUUCCCACAAUAUGCUUCACUUCUGACAUUUUAUGCAAACUUCAGUUUGUAUAUAAAAUUAGAUGUUUUUCAUCAAGAAGAAUAGCUAAUGGAUGCUGAGCUUAAUAAGUAGGUGAUGUGUUCAUUUGUGUAGCAAACCAC
rnacentral:lncRNA from 1 species